rnacentral:rRNA from 1 species
CCCAGACUCCUACGGGAGGCAGCAGUGGGGGAUAUUGCACAAUGGGGGAAACCCUGAUGCAGCGACGCCGCGUGGGCGAAGAAGUAUUUCGGUAUGUAAAGCCCUAUCAGCAGGGAAGAAGAAAUGACGGUACCUGACUAAGAAGCCCCGGCUAACUACGUGCCAGCAGCCGCGGUAAUACGUAGGGGGCAAGCGUUAUCCGGAUUUACUGGGUGUAAAGGGAGCGUAGACGGCGAUGCAAGCCAGAUGUGAAAGCCCGGGGCUCAACCCCGGGACUGCAUUUGGAACUGUGUGGCUGGAGUGUCGGAGAGGCAGGCGGAAUUCCUAGUGUAGCGGUGAAAUGCGUAGAUAUUAGGAGGAACACCAGUGGCGAAGGCGGCCUGCUGGACGAUGACUGACGUUGAGGCUCGAAAGCGUGGGGAGCAAACAGGAUUAGAUACCCCCGUAUGG